rnacentral:lncRNA from 1 species
GAACAAGCGCAGGGCAUUUAUUUCACCAUGCACUAGGAUAUAUGACAGUAACACAUCCAAAUGUUCCACAGAAUCCAGCUCUUGGGAAAUGAUGCAGUGCCUCACUUGCUGCACCGAGACAGAAAAUAAAGAAGAAGCAAGAGGCAGGAGAGAAGCAUGACAUCUUGUCUUCUGGCUUGAAUAUUUUGUACCUUUAUGAAGUGAGGACCACAGAGAGAUCAAGGAUCAAGGAGGGAAAGAAAUGAUGUGUCUCUGCCUAAGAUGUGAGACAAUUAAGAGUGAUAUCAGGGAAAAGAAAAGCAAACCAAGAUUUCCCUCAUUUUUUGAAGCAAAAUUCAGGUAUGACACUUACCCAUCUUCUUAUCACAGGUUAUCAAAGAGUUAAGACAACAAAAC